CUGACUGUAUUUAGAACAGACAGUUGGAACAUUCAGGCCGGGCAGCAUUCCCCAUCACAAUGGAGAUGGUGGUGGCGAGCAAUUAGGAGGGCACAGAGAACUCUGUGACAGCAGCAGUGUCACCUUCAGGCCAGCUAAUUCGCAAGGAGAACACGAAUGAAGCAAAGAAGGAAUUUUAGAAAUAAAACGUACAUAAUGAAAGAAAACUUUCUUGAACUGGAAAACAGCCUGACUCUAUAAAGCAAAAAACCCUAAAAAACAGACCUCCUUCUGAAUGGUGGAGACUGCAUUCAUAGGAAAGUUGGCCUCUCCCCAAGGCAAAAUAAACGAAGAAGAAGAAUGUGUGGACACACACACAA
rnacentral:lncRNA from 10 species